rnacentral:rRNA from 1 species
UACGGGGGGGGCAAGCGUUGUUCGGAAUUACUGGGCGUAAAGGGCUCGUAGGCGGCCAACUAAGUCAUACGUGAAAUCCCUCGGCUUAACCGGGGAACUGCGUCUGAUACUGGAUGGCUUGAGAUUGGGAGAGGGAUGCGGAAUUCCAGGUGUAGCGGUGAAAUGCGUAGAUAUCUGGAGGAACACCGGUGGCGAAGGCGGGUCUCUGGGCCGAAAUUGACGCUGAGGAGCGAAAGCGUGGGGAGCGAACAGG